AACGAACGCUGGCGGCAUGCCUAACACAUGCAAGUCGAACGAGACCAUCGGGGCUUGUUGCGCACGGGUGCGUCCCGCGACGGAACCUACACUUAGGUUCCGAAUAACUCACCGAAAGGGGUGCUAAGACCGGAUAAUGUCUUCUCCCUAGAGCUUUAUCGCCUUUGGAUGGGCCCGCGUUGGAUUAGCUAGUUGGUACAGCAACUGCCUACUAAGGCUACGAUCCAUGACUGGCCUGAGACGACGAUCAGCCACACUGAGACUGAGACACGGCCCGCACGGAUAGGGCAGGCAGCAGGGAGUACAAUUGGACACUGCGCGAAAGCCGGAUGCAGCAAGGCCGCGUGAGUGAUGAAGGACUUAGGGUGGUAAAUCUCUUUUACCCGUCAUGAUAAUGACUGGAUCGGGAGAAUAAGCUCCGGCUACUUCCGU
rnacentral:rRNA from 1 species